rnacentral:lncRNA from 1 species
UAUUGGGAGAAAUCAUUAUGGAUGUUAUUGUGUUAAUGACUUGAGAAGAGAGAUCUUCUAUUUAUAGAGCUACAAAACUCUUCCUCUAAUAAAGAAUAAACCUAAUAGAAAUCUAAUAGGAAAGAGAUCUUUUCAUACCAAGAAACUUUUUCCACUAAGAAAUCCUUUUCGAAGUAAAACACAGUUAUGGUAGAAUCCAAGUAAGGUAGGAAAUUUAGGACAAAUCCUAACAAAUCUUCCCUUGGCCUGAAUUUUCUGGAAAAUCAAUCUUGAUCUUCUUCUUCACAUAAUCUUCAUAUAUCACCGCUGCUUACCAUAAUUAAAAAUUAAUAUGGGUUAAAAUUGAAGCCCUAUAUGUUAAAAAUAACAGCACGGAUUGAUAUUAUUGGAGUCCUAUUUUACAAGUAAGAAGGAUUGAAAGUGGAGCCUUGUUCAUUGAAAGAGAGCACAGGUUAAGAGUGGAGCUCAUGCGUUAAAAAAAAAUACAUAGGUAGAAAGGAGACCACGCAUUAAAAGUAAGCCGAGGUUGAAAUUUGGAGCCCAUAAACAUGAGUUAAAAAUUGAUUUUGUUUUAAAGAUGGAUUAGCAACGAGAUUUGUUUGAAACUUUUCUCCACAUGUAGCUAGAUAAAGAUCUUCAUUAUCAUCAAAUUGGUUGCAACUUUGAUCUCAACAUGUUCUCAAUCCGAAUCAUCAGACCAUUGAACUUAUCUCUGAUUCCACUUGUUCGGUUCGAAAUCAAGAGGACGUGCUAAAUUUUGCAAACUAUAGAAAACAAUAAUUCAGAUGACAAAGAAAAAUAUAGUACAAUAAAAACAUAUUAUUGAUAUGGUUGGUCAAAAGACCUACAUUGAAAUAUUAAAAAAAUAUAAAUUCUAUUGGGAGAAAUCUCC